ACGAACGCUGGCGGCGUGCCUAACACAUGCAAGUCGAGCGCGAAUGGAGCAAUCCUAGUAGAGCGGCGCACGGGUGCGUAACACGUGGAUAAUCUGCCUAGAAGCCGGAAUAACCUGCCGAAAGGCAAGCUAAUACCGGAUAAGCCUACGGGGACUUCGGUCCCAGAAGGAAAGGUGGCCUCUGUAUACAAGCUAUCACUUUUAGAUGAGUCCGCGGCCCAUCAGCUUAGUUGGCGGGGUAAUGGCCCACCAAGGCAACGACGGGUAGCUGGUCUGAGAGGACGAUCAGCCACACUGGAACUGAGACACGGUCCAGACUCCUACGGAGGCAGCAGUGGGGAUUUGCACAAUGGGCGAAAGCCUGAUGCAGCAACGCCGCGUGUGUGAUGAAGGUCUUCGGAUCGUAAGCACUUUCGACCGGGACGAAAACCCGUUGGCUAACAUCCAACGGUUUGACUGUACCGGGAGAAGAAGCACCGGCUAACUCUGUGCCAGCAGCCGCGGUAAUACAGAGGGUGCAAGCGUGUUCGGAAUUAUUGGGGCGUAAAGCGCGUGUAGGCGGCUUUGCAAGUCGGGUGUGAAAGCCCUCAGCUCAACUGAGGAAGUGCGCCCGAAACUGCAGAGCUUGAGUACCGGAGGAGGAUGGCGGAAUUCCCCAAGUAGAGGUGAAAUUCGUAGAUAUGGGGAGGAACCCGGUGGCGAAGGCGGCCAUCUGACGGAUACUGACGCUGAGACGCGAAAGCGUGGGUAGCAAACAGGAUUAGAUACCCUGGUAGUCCACGCCGUAAACGAUGAGAACUAGGUGUCGUGGGUGUUGACCCCCGCGGUGCCGUAGCUAACGACAUUAAGUUCUCCGCCUGGGAAGUACGGCCGCAAGGCUAAAACUCAAAGGAAUUGACGGGGGGCCCCGCACAAGCGGUGGAGCAUGUGGUUUAAUUCGACGCAACGCGCAGAACCUUACCUGGUCUUGACAUCCUAGGAACCUGUCAGAGAUGACGGGGUGCCCGCAAGGGAGCCUAGAGACAGGUGCUGCAUGGCUGUCGUCAGCUCGUGUCGUGAGAUGUUGGGUUAAGUCCCGCAACGAGCGCAACCCUCGCUUUAGUUGCUCCGCAAGGAGAUCUCUAGAGGGACUGCCGGUGUUAAACCGGAGAAAGGUGGGGAUGACGUCAAGUCCUCAUGGCCUUUAGGACCAGGGCUACACACGUGCUACAAUGGCCGGUACAAAGCGCUGCCAACUCGCGAGAGGGAGCCAAUCGCAUAAAACCGGUCUCAGUUCAGAUUGGAGUCUGCAACUCGACUCCAUGAAGGCGGAAUCGCUAGUAAUCGCAGAUCAGCACGCUGCGGUGAAUACGUUCCCGGGCCUUGUACACACGCCGCCUCACACCAUGGGAGUCAAUUGCUCCAGAAGUCGCCGUGCCAACCGCAAGGAGGCAUGGCGCCCAAGGAGUGAUUGGUAACUGGGGUG
rnacentral:rRNA from 1 species